rnacentral:siRNA from 1 species
GGUGAUAGAUGUCAUACGGGUA